rnacentral:rRNA from 1 species
GAUGAACGCUGGCGGCAUGCCUAAGACAUGCAAGUCGUACGAAGCAGCCCAUAGAAACUAGAGUGCUUGCACAAAGGUGGAAAUGGAUUACCGCUUAGUGGCAAACGGGUGAGUAACACGUGGGUUACCUACCUCCAAGAUGGGGAUAACAGUUGGAAACGACUGAUAAUACCGAAUGUGCUCUACGGAGUAAAGAAGCCCUUAAAGCUUCGCUUGGAGAUGGGCCUGCGGCGCAUUAGCUAGUUGGUGAGGUAAUGGCCCACCAAGGCGACGAUGCGUAGCCGAACUGAGAGGUUGAUCGGCCACAUUGGGACUGAGACACGGCCCAG